rnacentral:sRNA from 1 species
GCCAGGUGCGGUGGUGCAUGCCUGUAAUCCCAGCAGCUUGGGAGGCUGAAGCAGGAGGAUCAUGAGUUUAAAGCCAGCCUCAGCAACUUAUCGAGGAACUUCGUAACUCAGUGAGAUCCUGUCUCUA